GGGUCAGUAGGUUGGUCGUGCCACCGGUACGUACUGGUCUCACUGAUUCCUCCUUCCUGAAGAACCGUAAUGCCAUUAAUUUGGUGUUGCGGGGAAACAGGACUGUUACUUUGAAAAAAUUAGAGUGUUUAAAGCAAUCUAAAGCUUGAAUACAUUAGCAUGGAAUAAUGAAAUAGGACGAUCGAUCCUAUUUUGUUGGUUUCUAGGAUUGACGUA
rnacentral:rRNA from 1 species